rnacentral:rRNA from 1 species
UACGUAGGGGGCAAGCGUUGUCCGGAUUUAUUGGGCGUAAAGAGCGUGUAGGCGGCUUUACAGGUCCGUUGUGAAAACUCGAGGCUCAACCUCGAGACGCCGGUGGAAACCGUAAGGCUAGAGUCCGGAAGAGGAGAGUGGAAUUCCAGGUGUAGCGGUGAAAUGCGUAGAUAUCUGGAGGAAUACCGGUGGCGAAGGCGGCAUCCUGGACCGGCAUUGACGCUGAGUGAGCGAAAGCCAGGGGAGCAAACGGG